AGUAUUUAGGUGACAUACACACCUGUCUGAGAAGGCACGGAUUGAAACUGAAUGUAAAGAAACAGCAUGGAAGUGUGACAAAGUCAUCUCCCCUGUUCUUUACUGCCCUCCAGUUACUGAAUCUGGGAACCAAGAACUCAGAACUGGACUGAGAAUAUCAUAAAAGCACAAAAAGGAUCCGUCCCUUCUAGAACUGGGCAACACUUUGAAUUCAGAAGCGAGCUUUUGGAGGCCUGGUCUUUUCUCCCCUAUGGAAAGAAUGGAAGGUCAAUGGAAAAGGUGUAAAGAGCUUUCCUGAUGUGUUUCCUCUCAUAGCUUUCUCUUGGUUUUAAUGGGAGGGAACUUGAAGGAAGGUAGAACGAAGCUGAUGUUUUCCAAGCAGCAUUGGAACAGAGCGGAUGACAGGAGUUACUGACUGGGAAGCUACUCCAAGGGAUGGAAGAAGAUAUUUGCAAGGAACUACCCUUCUUGCUUAGCACAUAGGUAUUGGUUUUGAUCAACUGCAGAAGAGAUGGAGCUGAGUUUUAGCAAGAGGCCUCAGAACAAUGUCAAACUAGCAUGUUAAGCAGCCAUGCCAGAAAACUGCAGUCAAUGCUGGAUCUCCCCUGGGCAGCACUGAGCAGUCCUGAAUACCUCCUCCACCAAAAAAUUUCUAUCCAGUGCUAUGGACUCUACAAGUCUCACUCCAUCAUUACUUCAGAUGGACAGCUGGCUAAUUUUUGUAAGUAGUUUCUAGGGGCAGAAGAACUGGGGGCAACCAGGUGUUUCUGUGAUGCCU
rnacentral:lncRNA from 1 species